rnacentral:rRNA from 1 species
UGGAUUUCUUGGCUCCCGCAUCGAUGAAAAAAAAAGCGCGAUAGGUAGUGUGAAUUGCAGAAUUCCGUGAAUCAUCGAAUUUUUGAACGCACAGUCUGCGGACUUGAGCAUGUCUGCCUCAGCGUCGUUUUAAAUGGCUUGCCGUCCGUGACCCUUGCCACUCCU